rnacentral:lncRNA from 1 species
AAUUAGCACUACUUUCGCUUCUGCCAAUUAUUUGCUAUGCUGAUACGAUGCCAUAAUGCUGGGAGCAAGUUUUAAAGGCGGGCUGAUGAUGGAGCCUUACGGUAAAGUCAGCCUUUAAAAUGUGUUUGUGCUCGCUACAUUUUCCAUGUGCACUGUAAGUGUAUUUGUAGCUGCUAUUUAUGUGUAACCGUCAUACGCUUUUAUUCUUUAGAGAGGAAUCCAGAAGCUGAAACUGCCUUCUAGCUACAGUUAAGGGCUGUUCUGCUCGUUGAGUUUCACGCACAGGAGAUUCUGGGAUUAACAAGGGAGUCUGAGUAGAUGCAUGCGAGGAGGAGAAUGUCUGUUCAAAAGCUGCUUAAGAGACUUUGAGAAGUGACAAACUGGAGAGAGAGACAGGAAAGCCAUUUUAGGUGCGAGUCUGUUCCGCUCUCCGUAACCCUUCGGGGUUUCCUCAGCGAGGCGAUAACUUACAUCACCAAAUUUCUGUCUUGUUGUGAAGGAGUCUAC